rnacentral:rRNA from 1 species
CCCAAAAAUAACGUCUCAGUUCGGAUUGUAGUCUGCAACUCGACUACAUGAAGCUGGAAUCGCUAGUAAUCGCGAAUCAGAAUGUCGCGGUGAAUACGUUCCCGGGUCUUGUACACACCGCCCGUCACACCAUGGGAGUUGGAAAUGCCCGAAGUCAGUGACCCAACCGCAAGGAGGGAGCUGCCGAAGGCAGGUUCGAUAACUGGGGUGAAGUCGUAACAAGGUAGCCGUAUCGGAAGGUGCGGCUGGAUCACCUCCUUUCUAAGGAA